CCGUGGUGGCCUCAGAAACCGUGCCCAAAUCAUUAUUUUGAAGACCAAGUUUCAAUGGUUGGUCACGGCCAUAGUCCAGGCCGUGAUGGUCAGCACUACCUUGACUCAGGCCGUGCUCAAUGUGUGCAACGCGAGCUCUUGUCCGAUCUUGAUGAAUUCUCUUCCAUUUCCACACGUAUUGAUCUAUAAUUGCUUAAACACUGAUGACGGUCCUAUAAAUGCUCCCGAAAAAUCAGCCUCUUCUCCC
rnacentral:lncRNA from 1 species